GCUUCUAUCGUCUAGAUGGUUAGGACGUAGGUCUCAUACGAAAAGUGUGAGCUCGAAACACGAGUACAUCCUGCAACCAGAGUUCGAGUCUCUGUGGAGGCA
rnacentral:tRNA from 1 species